ACUCCUACGGGAGGCAGCAGUGGGGAAUAUUGGACAAUGGGCGCAAGCCUGAUCCAGCCAUGCCGCGUGAGUGAUGAAGGCCUUAGGGUUGUAAAGCUCUUUCACCGAUGAAGAUAAUGACGGUAGUCGGAGAAGAAGCCCCGGCUAACUUCGUGCCAGCAGCCGCGGUAAU
rnacentral:rRNA from 1 species